rnacentral:rRNA from 1 species
AUGUAUGUACAGGGUGAUGAUCCCUUCUGGAAACAGAAAUUCGUAGAAAAAGCAGUAAAGCCAACUGGGGAUAAAGCGGUCAAACCUUCUCGCCCCAAAACCAAAGCCGUCAAACGGACGUCAAAACGGAAAACGGCUGAACGGAUUAACAUGGAACUUGAUGAUGAUGCUGAUGAUCCGAAAGUUGAGGUAGAACUUGACUCACUUGGCUCCCUUUUCAUGCAUCUCAUUAACAAUGAUCUUCCUCAGGAGGACGCAGAAGGCAGUCAAGCUGAUGAUGUAGAGGUAAUUACCCUUUCCUCUGGUUCAGACUCUAAGCUAACACAAAAAACCCAUUAA